ACAAUAACAGGUGCGAGGUGGCCAGAGGUUGCGAAGCGUGAUCGCACGAACGACGCAGCGGAGAAAGCGGGAGGAGAACGUGGGAGGAGUAGGAGAGCUCCCCUUUCGCGGGUUUGCUCGAUAUAAAAGAUUGGAAGUGAGAGAUGCCUCAGGACAGAGCGUUCUGCGAACGACUCUGCCAAUCCAUUCUUUCGGAUCGUAGAAGAGCGUUCCAUCGCCGGGGCGGAAUCGCCGAAAUACCGUGACCUAAAAUAGUUGGCCUCGCGGAAAAUUUUGAAUGGCGAUCGACUGGCCGGGGAUCGUUCUAGAAAUACUUGGAGAUGGUUCCCUCCGAAUAGAAACCGAUCUCUCGACCACGGGUGACGGGUUGAGCGCGCCUGUUGAGAAAGCUUCGAAAAGAUCGAUCCACCGGGGCAAGAUGGAUCGAUAUCGAGCGGACCAGCUGACGGUGUGAACGUUUCCGACUCCGGGGGAAAAAUCCUAUAGGACGAACAAAGGCGGUAAACCAGGCUAUGCGGAAGAAAGGAAAGGGGAAAGGGUGAAACUCGAGGAUGGAAGAGGAUGGGAGGGGGAGAGGAAAGGUGGUCGGAAAACAAGCGUCCGCUCGCGUCUUCAUCGAAAAUACAGUAGCCAAGGCUUUGGCGGCGAAUACGAAUCGUUGACCAACAAUCCGCCGAUAGCCGUUACGACAGCUUCCCUCUACUUCAGCUCGCGACGCAACACGUCAGCGAGACCAGAAGCCUACCCACCGAGGAGUGCCGCGCGGUCGUUUCGCAUCUAUGCGCUUCGAACCGCAUCGUGGACCAUCUGUGAUCGGAUGGAAACACCGAGGCGACCAACACCGAUUUUCCCUAUAUAUAU